rnacentral:tRNA from 1 species
GGAAGGGUGGCCGAGUGGUUUAAGGCGGCGGUCUCGAAAACCGCUGUACGGUAUCCCCGUACCGUGGGUUCGAAUCCCACCCCUUCCGCCA